AAACCAACAGGGAUUGCCUUAGUAACGGCGAGUGAAGCGGCAAAAGCUCAAAUUUGAAAGCUAGCACCUUCGGUGUUCGCAUUGUAAUUUGAAGAAGGUAUCUUUGGAGUUGGCCCUUGUCUAUGUUUCUUGGAACAGGACGUCAUAGAGGGUGAGAAUCCCGUCUGAUGGGGUGUCCAAUUCUUUGUAAAGUGCUUUCGAAGAGUCGAGUUGUUUGGGAAUGCAGCUCUAAGUGGGUGGUAAAUUCCAUCUAAAGCUAAAUAUUGGCGAGAGACCGAUAGCGAACAAGUACAGUGAUGGAAAGAUGAAAAGAACUUUGAAAAGAGAGUGAAAAAGUACGUGAAAUUGUUGAAAGGGAAGGGCAUUAGAUCAGACUUGGUGUUUUGUGAUUAUCUUCCUCUUGUAGGUUGUGCACUCGCAUUUCACUGGGCCAGCAUCGAUUUGGAUGGUAAGAUAAUGACAUUGGAAUGUGGCUGCCUUCGGGUAGUGUUAUAGCCUUUGUUGAUGUUACCUAUCUGGAUCGAGGACUGCGUCUUUGACUAGGAUGCUGGCGUAAUGAUCUAAUGCCGC
rnacentral:rRNA from 1 species